UCAAAAAGUCAUAUAGUCAUAUAGUCGGGGUAAUUACAAAAUAGUACUCGUAAGUUGGCCACUGCAUGUCAAACUGUGUCAAAUGGCAUAUUAAAAUCAAAGUCUUGAAAUGAAAAUGCUUUUAACAGCCGUGCAUUAAGUAAUCAACAUGAUAACCCCAAAAGUCGCUCGGGUAGUACAUUCUAUUGGAGCGACCGAAGCCAACUAAAACUCAAACGAAGCUGACGCUGAAACCGAAACUGAUAAUCUGUCAGGCACAGGCACAAUAUAAAUACAAAACAUGACGAAGACACCCAAGAACGUAAAGCAAAGACCGAGGAGGAAGGUCCCCCCCCCCCUACUUCGGCCCGAGUCCGAUUUAUGCAUGAAUGCGGUGGACAACGCACGCACUAACGACCAAUGCAUAAAUCAAUGAGGAGGGCUUCAGAAUCCGAAGGGGAUAUAACCAGACAAAAACUAAACGUGGAAGCCAAUGCGAAAAAUGAACUGGCACUGGCCAUAAAUGAGUAAUUGCUGACAUUGCCGUAGCCAUUGCCAUGUCCAGCAGGGGCAGAGGCAGAGGCAGAGGCAGAGGCAGAGAGAGAGAGGCUGCAGCUGAAGGAAACAAGCGGCGUUCAGGUCUGGAGUCCGUUUCCGUUUUUAGCGGAGACAACAACCCAUAAAUGUGCGCCUAGACAAAGGCCUAAAACAAACAAACAGGCAAGGCUUAGGCCGCGGCAGCAAUACUUAGUGACCAUCCAUGCCAGUGCUUGGCAUUCAAUUACAAUUACAGCCCCCAUGCCGACAACAACGGCAACAGACCGACUGGACUUCUGCAGAAAAAUGCUUGGUGUCUCUUGGCGUGUUGCUGUAUUGCUAGCUUGGAUAACUUGGAGUCUUGGGUUUGGCUUUUUGGUCUUGGUCUUGCGGCUGGCGCGGCUUCCAGGUAACGUCUCUCUAACGGUUCGCCGCGAUACUUGUUUGUAUCUCUAUAUUUCCAUCUACAACUUCAACUCCAGCUCCAACUCCCAACUUCCAACGCCCAACUCCAUCUCCGUCAGCAUUUCUAUUUGAAUCUGUUGGCGCGAUGCGCGCGUCUCAUGUUGACAAACUCACUUAACAAAUCCACAACUACUUAUACAACCCGCAGCAGUACAACAAACAGUAAUUUUUCUCGCUUCAUUGGCAUCGUCUGCCGACUGCUGACUGCCGGGAAGAAGCCUGUAAAGCGAGCAUAAGCAUAUCGGCGGUUUGUUUAGUCAACUUGCCCCGUGAAGCCGGUGCGGCGGUAGGGGACAGGGGAGAGGGUAUAUGGGCAGACUGAGAGGGGCGACUUAAAACUUGGCUGCUGCCAGUUAAGUAAACAGAGAAUUUGUAUUGUACAAAGGCCACAGACAGACACAGACACAGACACAGAUACAGAUACAGAUACAGCAGCUACUCGGCAUUGCGGCUGACCGUUGUUUGCCUUGCUCUAGAGUUCUCCAUGGCUACAGAACGUUGCCUGGGCGCGGCUGCAUCCAUAUAGGCUCUUAAUGAUACAACUAUACCAAAAUAUAUAUGCAUACAUAUAAAAAGAAAAAUGUCAUGAAAUGAAACGAAUUUCGUCUAUGCCAUCGCCACCAUCCAAUGCACAUUAUAAAAGUCCAAGAACAACACUCUGCAACAUGAUUUCAGAUUUCAUUGGGGUCAUUUCUUUCAAUUUGACUAAAUCUGAUUGUUGAAGUGGGGCCUAACUUUGAGUAUUUGCUUAUGUUUUGAAUUUUAGCCAAAUCAGGCUUGGAUUGGUUCACAAUUGCACCAAGGAACCAAAUCUUGGGCCUGUGAAGCACAUGAUUCACAAACCAAACUAAAAUUCAAACUAAUCAUGAAUCGAACUUGUGACUAUAUUUCUUUGGUUUUAUCGCCCGUCCUUAAAUACCACGAAUGGUUUUGAAUCAACAUUCUUGUGGCCUUAAUUUUGUGUGUGUGUUCUACUGUGUAUUCUGGUUGACUGAAAGAUACAAAAUUACACGCAAGCUGCGACACUUAUGCUAGACGCGACAAUAAUAUUUCUAUAGCAGAAACUUCACACUUAAUGUAUUUUGCAAAAAAAAAAAAAAAAAAAAAAAUUUAAGCAGCAAAAAAGAAAACACAUAAACAGAAAGAAAAAUAAAAAAACACGGAAAACAAAAACAAAUUGAAAAACCUCCAAAGUAGUUGCACAUGUUGCCUGAGGCGGCCCAAAUUACUUGUGGCCGAGCAGAGCCGCAGCAGAGGAGCAGCAGACGGCAACGGCGGCGACUAGUCAAUGCUUUAAGGAAUAUGGCAGCAAAUAAUUAAAACAUAUUUAAAAAUAGUUUGCCAUAUGGAUGACGACUACAACGACAACGGCAACGACAACGACAACGACGGCGACGACGACGAGGCCCGGCUGGGUAAUGGCUGUUGGCUGUUGCCUGAUGGUGACGUGGCUGGUCAGCCCCCAAGAACAACAAAAGCCAACAAUUUCGUCUGGCCAAAUGCGACGCCAACUCCGACGCAGCCGCCACCCCCACCGCCAGCAGCCGUGCCACAUUUACUAAAUACAGAUACAGAUACAGAUACAAAUGCAAUUGCAGAUACUUUUCGUCUGCCAGUCGACUUCUAACAGCCAUCCAUCUAACCAUCUAUCUAUACCAACAAUUACAACUUAUCCUCUCAUCUCGUCUGCUGCCAAGUUCAAAAUUAUAUGCUUUGCACUUUAUUUUGUUCAUGUCAAAAAGAAACAACAAAUUAAACAGAAACAGCAACAACAACAACAGCAAA